rnacentral:tRNA from 1 species
AGGGAUGUAGCGUAGCCCGGUAUCGCGUCAGCAUGGGGUGCUGGAGGUCGCAGGUUCGAAUCCUGUCAUCCCUACAA